AUUGAACGCUGGCGGCAGGCCUAACACAUGCAAGUCGAACGGUAACAGGAAACAGCUUGCUGUUUCGCUGACGAGGGGCGGACGGGUGAGUAAUGUCUGGGAAACUGCCUGAUGGAGGGGGAUAACUACUGGAAACGGUAGCUAAUACCGCAUAACGUCGCAAGACCAAAGAGGGGGACCCUCGGGCCUCUUGCCAUCGGGUGGGCCCAGAUGGGAUUAGCUUGUUGGUGGGGUAACGGAUCACCAAGGCGACGAUCCCUAGCUGUUCUGAGAGGGUGACAAGCCACACUGGAACGGAGACACGGACCAGACUCCUACGGGAGGCAGCAGUGGGGAAUAUUGCACAAUGGGCGCAAGCCUGAUGCAGCCAUGCCGCGUGUAUGAAGAAGGCCUUCGGGUUGUAAAGUACUUUCAGCGGGGAGGAAGGGAGUAAAGUUAAUACCUUUGCUCAUUGACGUUACCCGCAGAAGAAGCACCGGCUAACUCCGUG
rnacentral:rRNA from 1 species